rnacentral:rRNA from 1 species
GGAGUUUGGACCGUGUCUCAGUUCCAAUGUGGGGGACCUUCCUCUCAGAACCCCUACCGAUCGUUGCCUUGGUGGGCCGUUACCCCGCCAACAUAGCUAAUCGGACGCAUCCCCAUCCACCACCGAUGAAUCUUUACUCCUCGUCAGAUGUCCGCAAAGGAGACCAUCAGGGAUUAAUCCAGUUUUCACUGGGCUAUACCCGAGUGGCGGGCAGGUUGGAUACGCGUUACUCACCCGUGCGCCGGUCGUCAUCUGGCUGAGCAAGCUCAGCCAAUGUUACCCCUCGACUUGCAUGUGUUAAGCCUGUAGCUAGCGUUCAUC